rnacentral:tRNA from 1 species
UCUCUGGUGGCUCAGACAGUAAAGAAUCUGCCUGCAAUGUAGGAGACCCAGGUUCGAUCCCUGGGUAGGGAA